AGAGUUUGAUCCUGGCUCAGGAUGAACGCUAGCGGCAGGCCUAACACAUGCAAGUCGAGGGGCAGCGGGGAAAAGCUUGCUUUUCCGCCGGCGACCGGCGCACGGGUGCGCACCGCGUAUGGAACCUGCCUUGUACAGGGGAAUAGCCCAGGGAAACUUGGAUUAAUGCCCCGUAGUACCGUAUUUCGGCAUCGUUAUACGGUUAAAGCCUUCGGGCGGUACAAGAUGGCCAUGCGUCCCAUUAGCUUGUUGGUAAGGUAACGGCUUACCAAGGCUACGAUGGGUAGGGGCCCUGAGAGGGGGAUCCCCCACACUGGUACUGAGGCACGGACCAGACUCCUACGGGAGGCAGCAGUGAGGAAUAUUGGACAAUGGAGGAGACUCUGAUCCAGCCAUGCCGCGUGCAGGAAGAAUGCCCUAUGGGUAGUAAACUGCUUUUAUACGGGAAGAAAAAGAGCUACGUGUAGCUUACUGACGGUACCGUAAGAAUAAGGACCGGCUAACUCCGUGCCAGCAGCCGCGGUAAUACGGAGGGUCCGAGCGUUAUCCGGAAUUAUUGGGUUUAAA
rnacentral:rRNA from 1 species